rnacentral:rRNA from 1 species
GACGAACGCUGGCGGCGUGCCUAAUACAUGCAAGUUGAGCGCUGAAGGUUGGUACUUGUACCAACUGGAUGAGCAGCGAACGGGUGAGUAACGCGUGGGGAAUCUGCCUUUGAGCGGGGGACAACAUUUGGAAACGAAUGCUAAUACCGCAUAAAAACUUUAAACACAAGUUUUAAGUUUGAAAGAUGCAAUUGCAUCACUCAAAGAUGAUCCCGCGUUGUAUUAGCUAGUUGGUGAGGUAAAGGCUCACCAAGGCGAUGAUACAUAGCCGACCUGAGAGGGUGAUCGGCCACAUUGGGACUGAGACACGGCCCAAACUCCUACGGGAGGCAGCAGUAGGGAAUCUUCGGCAAUGGACGAAAGUCUGACCGAGCAACGCCGCGUGAGUGAAGAAGGUUGUCGGAUCGUAAAACUCUGUUGGUAGAGAAGAACGUUGGUGAGAGUGGAAAGCUCAUCAAGUGACGGUAACUACCCAGAAAGGGACGGCUAACUACGCG